GAUGAACGCUGGCGGCGUGCCUAAUACAUGCAAGUCGAGCGAACGGACGAGAAGCUUGCUUCUCUGAUGUUAGCGGCGGACGGGUGAGUAACACGUAGAUAACCUACCUAUAAGACUGGGAUAACUUCGGGAAACCGGAGCUAAUACCGGAUGAUAUUUUGAACCGCAUGGUUCAAAAGUGAAAGACGGUCUUGCUGUCACUUAUAGAUGGAUCCGCGCUGCAUUAGCUAGUUGGUAAGGUAACGGCUUACCAAGGCAACGAUGCAUAGCCGACCUGAGAGGGGGAUCGGCCACACUGGAACUGAGACACGGUCCAGACCCCUACGGGAGGCAGCAGUAGGGAAUCUUCCGCAAGGGGCGAAAGCCUGACGGAGCAACGCCGCGUGAGUGAUGAAGGUCUUCGGAUCGUAAAACUCUGUUAUUAGGGAAGAACAUAUGUGUAAGUAACUGUUCACAUCUUGACGGUACCUAAUCAGAAAGCCACGGCUAACUACGUG
rnacentral:rRNA from 1 species